rnacentral:rRNA from 1 species
UACGUAGGGGGCUAGCGUUGUCCGGAAUCAUUGGGCGUAAAGCGCGCGUAGGCGGUCAGGUAGGUCCGGUGUGAAAGUCAAAGGCUCAACCUUUGAAUGCCGCUGGAUACUGCUUGACUUGAGUCCGGAAGGGGCGAGUGGAAUUCCUGGUGUAGCGGUGAAAUGCGCAGAUAUCAGGAGGAACACCGGUGGCGAAGGCGGGUCUCUGGGCCGGAUACUGACGCUGGAGGAGCGAAAGCGUGGGGAGCGAACAGG